AUUGAACGCUGGCGGCAGGCCUAACACAUGCAAGUCGAACGGUAACAGGAAGCAGCUUGCUGCUUAGCUGACGAGUGGCGGACGGGUGAGUAAUGUCUGGGAAACUGCCUGAUGGAGGGGGAUAACUACUGGAAACGGUAGCUAAUACCGCAUAACGUCGCAAGACCAAAGAGGGGGACCUUCGGGCCUCUUGCCAUCGGAUGUGCCCAGAUGGGAUUAGCUAGUAGGUGGGGUAACGGCUCACCUAGGCGACGAUCCCUAGCUGGUCUGAGGGGAUGACACGCCACACUGGAACUGAGACACGGUCCAGACUCCUACGGGAGGCAGCAGUGGGGAAUAUUGCACAAUGGGCGCAAGCCUGAUGCAGCCAUGCCGCGUGUAUGAAGAAGGCCUUCGGGUUGUAAAGUACUUUCAGCGGGGAGGAAGGGAGUAAAGUUAAUACCUUUGCUCAUUGACGUAACCCGCAGAAGAAGCACCGGCUAACUCCGUGCCAGCCGCCGCAGUAA
rnacentral:rRNA from 1 species